rnacentral:rRNA from 1 species
UACGGGGGGGGCAAGCGUUGUUCGGAAUUACUGGGCGUAAAGGGCUCGUAGGCGGCCAACUCAGUCGGACGUGAAAUCCCUCGGCUUAACCGGGGAACUGCUUCCGAUACUGGAUGGCUUGAGUGUGGGAGAGGGAUGCGGAAUUCCAGGUGUAGCGGUGAAAUGCGUAGAUAUCUGGAGGAACACCGGUGGCGAAGGCGGCAUCCUGGACCGAAAUUGACGCUGAGGCGCGAAAGCCAGGGGAGCAAACGGG